rnacentral:rRNA from 1 species
AUUGAACGCUGGCGGCAGGCCUAACACAUGCAAGUCGAGCGGAUGAAGGGAGCUUGCUCCUGGAUUCAGCGGCGGACGGGUGAGUAAUGCCUAGGAAUCUGCCUGGUAGUGGGGGAUAACGUCCGGAAACGGGCGCUAAUACCGCAUACGUCCUGAGGGAGAAAGUGGGGGAUCUUCGGACCUCACGCUAUCAGAUGAGCCUAGGUCGGAUUAGCUAGUUGGUGGGGUAAAGGCCUACCAAGGCGACGAUCCGUAACUGGUCUGAGAGGAUGAUCAGUCACACUGGAACUGAGACACGGUCCAGACUCCUACGGGAGGCAGCAGUGGGGAAUAUUGGACAAUGGGCGAAAGCCUGAUCCAGCCAUGCCGCGUGUGUGAAGAAGAUCUUCGGAUUGUAAAGCACUUUAAGUUGGGGGGAAGGGCAGUAAGUUAAUACCUUGCUGUUUUGACGUUACCAACAGAAUAAGCACCGGCUAACUUCGUG